UACGAAGGGGGCUAGCGUUGCUCGGAAUGACUGGGCGUAAAGGGCGCGUAGGCGGACAGCUUUGUCAGGCGUGAAAUUCCAGGGCUCAACCUUGGGGCUGCGUUUGAGACGGGUUGUCUUGAGUGGAGAAGAGGGUCGUGGAAUUCCCAGUGUAGAGGUGAAAUUCGUAGAUAUUGGGAAGAACACCGGUGGCGAAGGCGGCGACCUGGUCUUUUACUGACGCUGAGGCGCGAAAGCGUGGGGAGCAAACAGG
rnacentral:rRNA from 2 species